UUAACUGUAACUCAAAGGUAGAGUGGAUAACUUUUAAUUAUCUUGUUAUAGGUUCGAGCCCUAUCAGUUAAA
rfam:Melampsora larici-populina 98AG31 unplaced genomic scaffold MELLAscaffold_484, whole genome shotgun sequence.